ACAGUUUUCUGUUCUUUUUACUUGAAUGAUUUUCUUCAUGUUGUAUACUUUUUAUGAGUGGUUUUAAUGACUGCGUAAUCUUCCAUUUGGUGCAUAUUCAGUGGUUAAUGAGGACUUGACCUAUACUUCAGAAAUUUGGAAAGAGGAGAAGUGGGACAUGCCUAAAUUAAUGGGACUUGGCCACUAAUGGGGUUUGAAGGACAAAGGAGAGGGAAGAGUCAGAUAGGAUUAGCACAGCACAUGACUGCCUAAGAGAUGCUCACAAAAAUAAACGGCUGAAUGAGUGAAUGAACCCAGCGGUUUUAAAUCUGGAGGCUUAAGACAGUUUUUGGUAGCUGAGGGAGAACAGAAAUAGCUAUGUUUACUGUUAAUAUAGAAUAUGUGUUAUUCUUUGCAUUCACCUUUCCCACCUAUAUUGCAGACGUCACUGAUAGCUUGUAAUACUUUUCUACCUGAGGUUUAAGUAUGUAAAUAUGAAGAAUUAAUAACAAGUUAAACUCUUGUUUUGAAAAUCUAAUUCGCCAAAUAUAAUUGAGGAAAUACUAUAAGAACUAAAUCUACUGAUCCUCUCUUAGGAGCAAUUUGACAUAAUUUUUGUAAGUUUAAAGACAGACUUUAAAGCAACUUUCCAGUCACAACUUCAAAAUAAAGUACAAGUUAAUUGCA
rnacentral:sRNA from 1 species